CCUACGGGGGGCAGCAGUGAGGAAUAUUGGUCAAUGGUCGGGAGACUGAACCAGCCAAGCCGCGUGAGGGAUGAAGGUACAGAGUAUCGUAAACCUCUUUUGUCAGGGAACAAAGGCGGGGACGUGUCCCCGGAUGAGUGUACCUGAAGAAAAAGCAUCGGCUAACUCCGUGCCAGCAGCCGCGGUAAUACGGAGGAUGCGAGCGUUAUCCGGAUUUAUUGGGUUUAACGGGUGCGCAGGCGGUCUGUUAAGUCAGCGGUAAAAGCCCGGGGCUCAACCCCGGCGCGCCGUUGAAACUGGCAGUCUCGAGUUGGAGAGAAGUACGCGGAAUGCGCGGUGUAGCGGUGAAAUGCAUAGAUAUCGCGCAGAACUCCGAUUGCGAAGGCAGCAUGCCGGCUCCACACUGACGCUGAGGCACGAAAGCGUGGGUAUCGAACAGGAUUAGAUACCCGAGUAGUC
rnacentral:rRNA from 1 species